rnacentral:rRNA from 1 species
UACAGAGGGUGCGAGCGUUGUUCGGAAUUAUUGGGCGUAAAGGGCGCGUAGGCGGUGCGGUAAGUCACCUGUGAAACCUCUGGGCUUAACUCAGAGCCUGCAGGCGAAACUACCGUGCUGGAGUGUGGGAGAGGUGCGUGGAAUUCCCGGUGUAGCGGUGAAAUGCGCAGAUAUCAGGAGGAACACCGGUGGCGAAGGCGGGUCUCUGGGCCGUAACUGACGCUGAGGAGCGAAAGCAUGGGGAGCGAACAGG